rnacentral:rRNA from 1 species
CUCGUAGGCGGUCUGUUGCGUCGGGAGUGAAAACUCAGGGCUUAACCCUGAGCCUGCUUCCGAUACGGGCAGACUAGAGGUAUGCAGGGGAGAACGGAAUUCCUGGUGUAGCGGUGAAAUGCGCAGAUAUCAGGAGGAACACCGGUGGCGAAGGCGGUUCUCUGGGCAUUACCUGACGCUGAGGAGCGAAAGUGUGGGGAGCGAACA